AACACUUCUCAGCCUUUUGGCUAAGAUAAAGUGCUAUAUCUAUCUGACAUGUCCUUUAUGUGAGGAAAAUAUAUGAUUUUUUUUUUUUACUAUCAGGGAGAUGGAAUAGCUUGCUCUGUCCACUCCAUGCCUGAAUCUGGUAUUACAGGACCAUUAGGAAUGGUGCAUUCAUU
ensembl:snRNA Gm23628 predicted gene, 23628